UCCCUUGUAGCUCAGUCGGUAAAGAAUCUGCCUGUAGUGCAGGAGACCUGGGUUCGAUCCCUGGAUUGGGAA
rnacentral:tRNA from 1 species